GAUCGGCUAUAUCACGUUAGGGAAACUUGAACUACCCACACUUUCACCAGUCUUUUCUUUCAUGAGCAAUGAAAAAACUGGAAUGUAGUGCUGUAAGAGCAUCCUCGUCAUGAAAAAGUCGCAAACUAUGUGCUAGAAUCUAUAGGGGUAGUAAGAGGACGGGACAUGGCACAAACUCCGCUAGCAAAUUGCUAUCGAUGUGUUUAGCAUGGACAGCAUCCAUGCUUAACACUACCAAGUCCAUGUUCAUGUCAUCUGCCACCUCUCCGAUCACGACUGCAGGCCGCUUACCCUCUCCAAUCCUUUCCAUCAACUUGAACUCUGCAAAGCCACCUGUACGCAUAAUGAUGGCCAUUAUGAAUGAUUCAAGACAACACAGGUUGACAAAACGAAUAAACAACAAAUUUGAGCACACUGCAACAGAAUGAAGGCUUGUGAAACAUAUUUUAUCAGCACUGUACCUUCUGAUAGAUGCCAUCGUAUGUUCUUCAUACGAGUAUCGUGAUCCUCCUUUGACUCAGAACUGUCUUCAUCAAUUACUGGACACAGAAUCCAACAAUGGUCAAUAAUUACUUUAAAAGUACCCGAACUUGAAAAUCAAAUAAUUUUAUACUUUGCCCAGCCUUAGGAGCAAUAUCGUUUUGAGUUGUUCACAAGAGCUGGGCUUAUUUUAGUUCCAAAAAACUUACCAACAACAGUGAUCUCGGCCCCAAAUUUUGUAGCAAGAGCUGUCGUGGAGGCGGCCGCCUGUGGGGAAGAGUCAAAAGCAUUCCAUCAGCUAUCUCCUGAUGUGGGUACCCUUCGAGACUAGCAGCCAAAUAGAACAAAACUAGUACAAUAAAGUGUAAGGAAAAAGGGGGCAACCUGGCGGGUAGCUUCAGACAGAUAGGGGUUGCGAUCCAUAAUGAUAGGUAGUAAAACGCUCUUGAAAUUGGUUACUCCCGCGACAGCUACGCCAUCACUCGCAGACUGAGACUGGG
rnacentral:lncRNA from 1 species